AAAAAUAAGUACGAAAUACUACCACCAAAUUCUAUUAAAAAAAACACCAAAAAAAAAGAAAGAAUUGAAAGACCAAAAUAAGGCACCACCUAGAAUAAAAAAAACCAACAAUUAAACUACACUGAUGCAACAAGAACACGUCAAGAGAAGGUAGAAGACACGCAAGCCGCUAUUGACUCAGAUGUCAGAUAAGGUUCUCGAGUCAUGCCGAAAAAAUACAAGAG
rnacentral:lncRNA from 1 species